GAUGAACGCUGGCGGCGUGCCUAACACAUUCAAGUCGAACGGAGCUGCGAGUAAGCUUGCUUACGAACAGCUUAGUGGCGGACGGGUGAGUAAUGCAUGAGCAACCUGCCUUACAGAGUGGAAUAACACAGAGAAAUUUGUGCUAAUACCGCAUAUACCAUGGAUACGGCAUCGUGACUAUGGGAAAGGAGCAAUCCGCUGUAAGAUGGGCUCAUGUCUGAUUAGAUAGUUGGUAGGGUAACGGCCUACCAAGUCUGCGAUCAGUAGCCGGACUGAGAGGUUGAACGGCCACAUUGGAACUGAGAUACGGUCCAGACUCCUACGGGAGGCAGCAGUGGGGAAUAUUGGGCAAUGGGCGCAAGCCUGACCCAGCAACGCCGCGUGAGGGAAGAAGGUCUUCGGAUUGUAAACCUUUUUGACAGGGGACGAAGCAUGACGGUACCCUGAAAACAAGCCACGGCUAACUACGUGCCAGCAGCCGCGGUAAUACGUAGGUGGCAAGCGUUAUCCGGAUUUACUGGGUGUAAAGGGUGAGUAGGCGGGGAAGCAAGUCAGAUGUGAAAUACAAAGGCUUAACCUUUGAACUGCAUUUGAAACUGUUUUUCUUGAGAGUCGGAGAGGUAAUCGGAAUUCCCAGUGUAGCGGUGAAAUGCGUAGAGAUUGGGAGGAACACCAGUGGCGAAGGCGGAUUACUGGACGACAACUGACGCUGAUACACGAAAGCGUGGGGAGCAAACAGGAUUAGAUACCCUGGUAGUCCACGCUGUAAACGAUGAAUACUAGGUGUAGGCAAGAAAUUGUCUGUGCCGCAGUUAACACAAUAAGUAUUCCACCUGGGGAGUACGGCCGCAAGGUUGAAACUCAAAGGAAUUGACGGGAGCCCGCACAAGCAGUGGAGUAUGUGGAUUAAUUCGACGCAACGCGAAGAACCUUACCAGAAUUUGACAUCCCGAGGAGUCGGCGUAAUGGCUGAUGUGCCCUUCGGGGAACUCGGAGACAGGUGGUGCAUGGUUGUCGUCAGCUCGUGUCGUGAGAUGUUGGGUUAAGUCCCGCAACGAGCGCAACCCUUACUGUUAGUUGCUACGCAAGAGCACUCUAACAGGACUGCCGUUGACAAAACGGAGGAAGGUGGGGACGACGUCAAAUCAUCAUGCCCCUUACGUUCUGGGCCUCACACGUACUACAAUGGCGUAAACAAAAGGGGAGCGAUGCCGCGAGGCGGAGCAAAUCCCAAAAUAAACGUCCCGGUUCAGAUUGCAGGCUGCAAACUCGCCUGCAUGAAAGUUGGAAUUGCUAGUAAUCGCGGAUCAGCGUGCCGCGGUGAAUACGUUUCCCGGGCUU
rnacentral:rRNA from 1 species